GAGAAAANGUUUNNANCGCANGGAAAGUNGACCCNNNCAUCGCCACACAGGGACNACCAUCUACGUAUUACUUCCCGAAACUUUAACCUUGCGCGGCCAAGGGCGGGGUGGUCCUGGGCCUGCUGCCUUAACAUGGUGCGGCGCCGGCCACUGCUCCCGAAUAUCGGCCAAUCCUGGGCAUCCACCGGCACCACCGCCCCAGGAUCCAACCACACAGGGGGUUGGCCAACGAUGUGCGAACAUCCCCCAUUUUGAUCGCCUCAAUGCCCGACCGGCGCUAUCCGCCCCGACAUGAAAAA
rnacentral:rRNA from 1 species